UGACAGACGAGAAACGCUUCGUGUGUAGUGUAACGAUGGAGUCUUGUGAUAAAUGUGGCGGGGAGGCAAAAAAGUUCACCUGACUAAAACUAGCCUAGAUCGAACGAUUUUGCGUCAGAGCGUGCCGUGUGCAAAGCGGCCGGUCAUUAGCAAUAAUUAACUUAACACCGCCUUUAUUGUGAUAGCGCCAGUGCAUCUUUUGUCUCGGGCGCUAACGAGGCAAACGUGUUACGGACCCGUAUUUUGUCUGCGCUUACUAAUGGCCGGAACUCCCACUCAGAAAGGGAAACAAUCCGCGAAGGCCGGAUCGCGGUGUCUGUUGACGUAGUUGGUGAGUGCUGGCUGGAAGGCCGGCGAGGGCGGCACGAACGCGAGACACACAGCCAACAGCUCCCAGCCGCGGAGCAGCGAGUCGCGGAGAGGGUUCUCUGUAGUCUGACGACACAGCUGCACGUACAGCUCGUCACGCAAUCUAUACACACACAGCAUUUUUUUAAGUUGCGUGAAGUAUAUCCUGGGCAACAGAGUUGAGCGUCAUACCAGGGCGGGCUUUGCGGUCUCCCAUGUAUAUCUGUACGAGUCGGAACAGAUCUAUGGCGGCCUUUUUAUGAGUCUUGUCCCAUUCCGCUCCCACCAUGGGGGCGCUAAUCGAUGAUGACGUCCAAGAAAGCAUGUCACGGACUGACGCCUGGAAUUACAAUAUAUAUAUUUUUCAAAUUAAUAUCACUAUUUUUAGUUGUAAAAGAAGUCAUGCAUUAAGAGUAACUGUUAAAAAGCAAUAUUAAUUUUUGAAUAAGUUGUGGGAUACAAACCUUUCUCCUGAAUAUUCCUUUGUUGAAAUUGAGAUUGUCCUUUGCGAAUAUCUCUAUAUCCUGUUCGGGCGGCGGGUGUAGGUGGGUGUGUGGGUGCGAGUGUGGAUGCGAGUGGGAGUGCGAAUGUGGGUGCGACCUCACGGGACUAUACAAGGCGUCCGCUCGGCUGCACUCGCCCGCACUCGUGUUCCCCGUACUAGAGGACACCGCAGGAGCACCCGAACCACCCAAGGACGACGUCUGUAAUAAAUAACAAUUAACAUUAUCAAAUCUGUGCGAAACAUUAAAUUAAGUAUGAUUAGGCUAA